AUAUUCAACACAUCUGUACUUCUCUUCAGCUGACUGAGGUGAAUUCCUUCAAAUCUCGCGCGUCUGUUGCCAGAGCGCGCACGUCGUCAGCGUCAGCGUCUUGCGACAACACGAGGCCUGCUGCAUGAAGCCGUUUUCAGUUUGCUACUCAGAUUGUUCUGUCAGCAGUGGGCGGGACUUACAAGCAGUAAUCCAAUUGGCUGAAAAUGUGAUUAAUAUCUGACAGCCUGUAGCCAAUUUGCAAUCCAUCUGAGAACCAGCGUGAGGACAAGGAGAAGUCUUCUUUGAAUUUUAGGAUCUCUGGGUCAGAACUGCUGGAGGUCAUGAGGAGGUGACAGGAGAAGCAGCUACAGCAGUCUCUUGAACUACUGAACCCUUAUUCCACUGACCUUUUUUCUGGAGUCAGUGGAGCAUACUCCAUUCGCUGCCAUAAUGUUCCUUUGACGAGCUCUUGGACGUGUCUGAUAACGGUACCAGCUCAUGACGGGCCAUUUCUUUUUGAAUGUAUGUUUGAAAAUGAAGUGACUUACAAACUGGAGUGAUCAGUUUGUGCACAAUAAAAGGCUAAAUGUGA